rnacentral:ncRNA from 2 species
AUCGUUCAACCAAUAUUGGUCGGAAGUAGGUAAAGACACCGAAGGAACGCGUU